GAUGAAGAACGCAGCGAAAUGCGAUAAGUAAUGUGAAUUGCAGAAUUCAGUGAACCAUCGAAUCUUUGAACGCACAUUGCGCCCCUUGGUAUUCCGAGGGGCAUGCCUGUUCGAGCGUCAUUAUAACCCCUCAAGCUCAGCUUGGUGUUGGGGCCUGCUGCACUGGCAGCCCUUAAAAUCAGUGGCGGCGCCAUCUGGCUCUAAGCGUAGUAAUUCUUCUCGCUAUGGAGUCCUGGUGGAUGCUUGCCAUCAACCCCCAAUUUUUCUAUGGUUGACCUCGGAUCAGGUAGGGAUACCCGCUGAACUUAAGCAUAUCAAUAAGCGGAGGA
rnacentral:misc_RNA from 1 species